CCUACGGGCGGCAGCAGUGGGGAAUAUUGGACAAUGGGGGGAACCCUGAUCCAGCCAUGCCGCGUGUGUGAAGAAGGCCCUCGGGUUGUAAAGCACUUUCAGUGAGGAAGAACGCCUGGUGGUUAAUACCCAUCAGGAAAGACAUCACUCACAGAAGAAGCACCGGCUAACUCCGUGCCAGCAGCCGCGGUAAUACGGAGGGUGCGAGCAUUAAUCGGAAUUACUGGGCGUAAAGCGCGCGUAGGUGGCUUGAUAAGCCGGUUGUGAAAGCCCCGGGCUCAACCUGGGAACGGCAUCCGGAACUGUCAAGCUAGAGUGCAGGAGAGGAAGGUAGAAUUCCCGGUGUAGCGGUGAAAUGCGUAGAGAUCGGGAGGAAUACCAGUGGCGAAGGCGGCCUUCUGGACUGACACUGACACUGAGGUGCGAAAGCGUGGGUAGCAAACAGGAUUAGAUACCCCAGUAGUC
rnacentral:rRNA from 1 species